AUUGAACGCUGGCGGAAUGCUUUACACAUGCAAGUCGAGCGGCAGCGCGUCCUUCGGGCUGGCGGCGAGCGGCGAACGGGUGAGUAAUGCAUCGGAACAUGCCCAGUCGUUGUGGAUAACACUUCGAAAGAAGUGCUAAUACCUCAUACGUCCUGAGGGGGAAAGCGGGGGAUCGCAAGACCUCGCGCGUUUGGCGUUGCCGAUGUCAGAUUAGCUAGUUGGUGGGGUAAAGGCCUACCAAGGCGACGAUCUGUAGCUGGUCUGAGAGGAUGAUCAGCCACACUGGAACUGAGACACGGCCCAGACUCCUACGGGAGGCAGCAGUGGGGAAUUUUGGACAAUGGGGGCAACCCUGAUCCAGCCAUACCGCGUGAGUGAAGAAGGCCUUCGGGUUGUAAAGCUCUUUCGUCAGGAACGAAAAGGUGGGCUCUAACAUAGUCCGCUAAUGACGGUACCUGAAGAAGAAGCACCGGCUAACUACGUG
rnacentral:rRNA from 1 species